GGAAGCUCCCUGAAAGCCUGGCAGGCCACCCUACUUCAGCUGCAUUCGGUCCAUACACUGAGGGUCUCAGUGGGGAAAAAGCAGAGUCAUUUUAAAGAAACAUGGAUCUUAGUUUCUAGAAGGUUUUUCCCCAUCUGGCAGACAAAUUUAUGCCUAUUCCACACACAGUUGCCCAUGGGAAGAGUCUUUUUCCAUUUGCCACACUGGAUGCCACACUGGAUGGGAUAAUCUAGGAGGGAGGAACUGUGGAGAUGGUGCGCCUUGGGAUGUCCAGAAGACAGUGACCAGAAUUUCAAGAGAUGUUUUCAGAUUUCACAGUAUAAUAAGAGAAAAGGAGCCAAUCCCUUAAAUGAAGAACCUUCAAUCACUUCUCCCCAGGUGCACGUUUCAAUUUCAUUUCUUUUCAUCAACUCCUUCCCUUUGAUGACGGGUUGCAUUGAAAACUAUUAAGAAAAGUAGGAUAUUUAAAAUGAACUGUGUUAAGAAGAGGAUCAUUUCAAAGAAUAGCCGUCUAUUCUGAGGAAGUCCCUUCAGCCAAUCAAAAAGCUAAAGAAACUGGAUAUAAUGUGAAUCUAGUGUAAAUUACCAUGAUGUCUCCUUCAACAUUCAUCAAGACUUCUGACUAGUCUACUUGAUCUGUGAAAAUGAGAUUACUUGAAGACCUGUCACAGAUUUUAAAGCAGAACAAGAUAUAUUGAUUAUACAAAUAUUUUUAUGUCACCCUAUAUCUUAAUAAAA
rnacentral:lncRNA from 1 species